GCCCAGGUGGCUCAAUGGUAGAGCAAGUCCAUGGUAAGGACUAGGCCGGGAGUCCGAUUCUCCCCCUGGGCU
rnacentral:tRNA from 1 species